AAAUGUCCAACACCAAGAAGCUGUACAACAAGAGCCCAUGACACAACAAAGUGCUAUUUUACCAAAUAAUAAUUUGGAUCCAACUAGAAAAGAAAAACUACAGGUGAAAAGAGCACGGCAAGUUGGAGUUAAUAUUGAAGGGAAUUCAGGUUCAAUAUCUUUGAUAAAUGUUAACCAAUCAUUGAAUAUUC